GUAACACGUGGACAACCUGCCCUGAGGACUGGAAUAAUCCCGGGAAACUGGGGGUAAUUCCAGAUAUGUCAGAACUCCUGGAAUGGGUUCUGGCAGAAAGGCUCCGGCGCCUCAGGAUGGGUUUGCGGCCUAUCAGGGUAGUAGUGGGUGUAACGUACCUACUAGCCUACGACGGGUACGGGUUGUGAGAGCAAGAGCCCGGAGAUGGAUUCUGAGACAUGAAUCCAGGCCCUACGGGGUGCAGCAGGCGCGAAAACUUUACAAUGCGGGCAACCGCGAUAAGGGGACCUCGAGUGCUGGGUUACAAACCUGGCUGUUGGGCUGCCUAAAAAGCAGUCUAUAGCAAGGGCCGGGCAAGACCGGUGCCAGCCGCCGCGGUAACACCGGCGGCUCGAGUGGUAACCGCUGUUAUUGGGUCUAAAGGGUCUGUAGCCUGCCGGCUAAGUCUCUUGGGAAAUCUGGCAUCUCAAGUGUCAGGCUGCCAGGGGAUACUGGUCAGCUUGGGACCGGGAGAGGUGAGAGGUACCUCAGGGGUAGGGGUGAAAUCUUGUAAUCCUUGAGGGACCACCAGUGGCGAAGGCGUCUCACCAGAACGGAUCCGACGGCAAGGGACGAAAGCUAGGGGCACGAACCGGAUUAGAUACCCGGGUAGUCCUAGCCGUAAACGAUACUCGCUAGGUGUCGGCCACGGUGCGACCGUGGUCGGUGCCGUAGGGAAGCCGUGAAGCGAGCCACCUGGGAAGUACGGCCGCAAGGCUGAAACUUAAAGGAAUUGGCGGGGGAGCACAAU
rnacentral:rRNA from 1 species